rnacentral:rRNA from 1 species
GUCGAACGCUGGCGGCAUGCUUAACACAUGCAAGUCGAACGGUGAAGCAGAGCUUGCUCUGUGGAUCAGUGGCGAACGGGUGAGUAACACGUGAGUAACUUGCCCUUGACGCUGGGUUAAGCGUUGAAAACGACGUCUAUUACUCGAUACUCCGACCGAAGGCAUUUUCUGGUCUUGGAAAGAAUUUUGGUCAGGGAUGGAUACGCGGCCUAUCCGCUUGUUGGUGGGGUAAUGGUUCACCAAGGCGACGACGGGUAUGCGGCCUGGGAGGGUGACCGGCGACACUACGACUGAGGCAGGGACCAGACUCGAAUGGGAGGCAACGGUGGAGAGUAUUACACAGUGGGCGCGAGCCUGGUACGAAAAAGCCGCGUGAGGGAUGACGGCCUUGGGGUUGUAAACCUCUGUUAGUAGGGAAGAAGCGAAAGUGACGGUACCUGCAGAAAAAGCACCGGCUAACUACGUG